CUUUAUACCCAAUAGUGUACGGGAGCCAGCUCGCACCAGCAGUUUAUAAAUUCCGUGAAUUUUGCGAGUCGGUUUAGUAGCUACAGAUGUUGAGAAUGUUUUUGUUCCGCAAACAAGUAGAGAUAGGUUAGUGACAGACAGAGAGAUGUCCUGUCCUAUUCUCUCCUAUGCCAGUGCUGCUAAAAAGAAUAUCAGUGUAAAGAAGAAUAUUGAUCUAGUGAAAACUGUUACCAAAGAUCAUGAAGAUAAAGAAAAUACGAAUCAUAAUACUUCUUCUUAUGCUAUUUUCAUUUCAAGGCUUCAUCCUGAUACAUCUGUUACAGAUGUUUAUAAUUAUGUUAAAUCUCGUGUAUCUAAG
rnacentral:lncRNA from 1 species